rnacentral:lncRNA from 1 species
AUGAGAAGUCUUUCCAAGGAGAAGGACCCUGGUAACCACAGAGAGCGAGCCUCGCGUGCACUCCUGGGAAGCUGCUGGGUUUUCUGCAAAAAGCCCACACAGAGUUUCCUAUCUGAUCUUUGGGCCUUAGAGCCUAAUAAAGCUCCAGCGGUCCAGUGGACAAGAGGGACUCGAGGAGAGUGGACCAGCAAUGCGCAUCUGCUCAUUCUGUCUUCAAUCCUGGUGGGUUUGUCAUGUCAGAGAGCUGUGAACUUUGGCGAGAGGUUUCAAAUUAACCACAGGUAAUGGUUUUCUAGGAGCCACUUUUAGGUGGUUAGCCAUUGGCUGACGGAGGCAGUCACUGGGAAAAUGAAACCAGUGAUGCACUAGGCUCCUGCAACCUUGAGCCAUCAAUCAUGUGCAUCUCUGCCCGACCCUUGGCUACAAUGAGAAUAUUUACACCACAGAAAUAGGCAAAUGCUACAAAUCAAGGGAUUUAUUAGAGCCAAUUGUUAAACAUUUAUGAGCAUUACAACUGGAUGUUACACAUACACAUCUAUAUACACAAACACACCUACCAACACCACUCACAUUCAGAAUUUAUAAAUGUCUUUAUCAAGGCAAACAAUCUGACUAGAAUUUCCCUCUCUCAAAUGCCCAUCUUUUAUGAUUUUUCCCCAAUUUAGGAUGUCCAUGCGAGUAAUCUUUUAAACGUGUGUACAAUUUGGGGCUGGCCCUGUGGCCGAGUGGUUAAGUUGGCGUGCUCUGCUGCAGGCGGCCCAGUGUUUCAUUGGUUCGAAUCCUGGGUGUGGACAUGGCACUGCUCAUCAAGCCAUGCUGAGGCAGCGUCCCACAUGCCACAACUAGAAGGACCUGCAACGAAGAAUAUACAACUAUGUACUGGUGGGCUUUGGAGAGAAAAAGGAAAAAAAUAAAAUCUUUAAGAAAAAAAAUGUGUGUACA